AUUGAACGCUGGCGGCAUGCCUUACACAUGCAAGUCGAACGGCAGCGGACCUUCGGGUGCCGGCGAGUGGCGAACGGGUGAGUAAUAUAUCGGAACGUACCUUUCAGUGGGGGAUAACGUAGCGAAAGUUACGCUAAUACCGCAUAUUCUGUGAGCAGGAAAGCAGGGGAUCGCAAGACCUUGCGCUGAUUGAGCGGCCGAUAUCAGAUUAGCUAGUUGGUGAGGUAAAGGCUCACCAAGGCGACGAUCUGUAGCGGGUCUGAGAGGAUGAUCCGCCACACUGGAACUGAGACACGGUCCAGACUCCUACGGGAGGCAGCAGUGGGGAAUUUUGGACAAUGGGCGUAAGCCUGAUCCAGCCAUGCCGCGUGAGUGAAGAAGGCC
rnacentral:rRNA from 1 species